rnacentral:misc_RNA from 1 species
UACGUAGGGUCCAAGCGUUGUCCGGAUUUAUUGGGCGUAAAGAGCUCGUAGGCGGUUCAGUAAGUCGGAUGUGAAAACUCAGGGCUCAACCCUGAGACGCCAUCCGAUACUGCUGUGACUUGAGUCUGGUAGGGGAGAACGGAAUUCCAGGUGUAGCGGUGAAAUGCGCAGAUAUCUGGAGGAACACCGAUGGCGAAGGCAGUUCUCUGGGCCAGUACUGACGCUGAGGAGCGAAAGCGUGGGGAGCAAACAGG